rnacentral:SRP_RNA from 1 species
GCUGGGUGGGGUGGCGUGUGCCUAUAGUCCCAGCUACUCGGGAGGCUGAGGCUGGAGGAUCGCUUGAGCCCAGGAGUUCUGGGCUGUAGUGUGCUAUGCCGAUCGGGUGUCCACAGUAAGUUUAGCAUCAAUAUGGUGACCUCCCGGGAAUGGGGGACCACCAGGUUGCCUAAGGAGGGGUGAACCGGCCCAGGUCGGAAACAGAGCAGGUCAAAACUCCCGUGCUGAUCAGUAGUGGGAUCGCGCCUGUGAAUAGCCACUGCAUUCCAGCCUGGGCAACAUAGCGAGACCCCAUCUCU